UACGUAGGGUGCGAGCGUUGUCCGGAAUUAUUGGGCGUAAAGGGCUCGUAGGCGGCCAACUAAGUCAUACGUGAAAUCCCUCGGCUUAACCGGGGAACUGCGUCUGAUACUGGAUGGCUUGAGUUCGGGAGAGGGAUGCGGAAUUCCAGGUGUAGCGGUGAAAUGCGUAGAUAUCUGGAGGAACACCGGUGGCGAAGGCGGCAUCCUGGACCGAUACUGACGCUGAGGAGCGAAAGCCAGGGGAGCAAACGGG
rnacentral:rRNA from 1 species